GAUGAACGCUGGCGGCGUGCCUAAUACAUGCAAGUCGAGCGAACGGACGAGAAGCUUGCUUCUCUGAUGCUAGCGGCGGACGGGUGAGUAACACGUGGAUAACCUACCUAUAAGACUGGGAUAACUUCGGGAAACCGGAGCUAAUACCGGAUAAUAUUUUGAACCGCAUGGUUCAAAAGUGAAAGACGGUCUUGCUGUCACUUAUAGAUGGAUCCGCGCUGCAUUAGCUAGUUGGUAAGGUAACGGCUUACCAAGGCAACGAUGCAUAGCCGACCUGAGAGGGUGAUCGGCCACACUGGAACUGAGACACGGUCCAGACUCCUACGGGAGGCAGCAGUAGGGAAUCUUCCGCAAUGGGCGAAAGCCUGACGGAGCAACGCCGCGUGAGUGGUGAAGGUCUUCGGAUCGUAAAACUCUGUUAUUAGGGAAGAACAUAUGUGUAAGUAACUGUGCACAUCUUGACGGUACCUAAUCAGAAAGCCACGGCUAACUACGUG
rnacentral:rRNA from 1 species